UGUGGCUAGGGGUGAAAGGCCAAUCAAACUUGGAAAUAGCUGGUUCUCUGCGAAAUCUAUUUAGGUAGAGCGUCAAUCGAAUACUCCGGGGGGUAGAGCACUGGAUGGGCUAUGGGGUCCCAACGACUUACUGAUCCUAACCAAACUCCGAAUACCCGGAAGUAAUAAUUGGCAGACACACUGCGGGUGCUAACGUCCGUAGUGGAGAGGGCAACAACCCUGACCUCCAGUUAAGGUCCCCAAGUCAUGGCUAAGUGGGAAAGGAUGUGAGAAUCCCAAAACAACCAGGAUGUUGGCUUAGAAGCAGCCAUCAUUUAAAGAAAGCGUAACAGCUCACUGGUCUAAAUAAGGGUUCUUGCGCCGAAAAUGUAACGGGGCUAAAGCCAUGCACCGAAACUGAGGGCACUAUUUAUAGUGCGGUAGCAGAGCGUUCUGUAAGCCUGCGAAGGGAUACUCGUGAGAGAUCCUGGAGGUAUCAGAAGUGCAAAUGUUGACAUGAGUAACGAUAAAGAGGGUGAGAGACCCUCUCGCCGAAAGACCAAGGGUUCCUGCUUAAAGUUAAUCUGAGCAGGGUUAGCCGGCUCCUAAGGCGAGGCCGAAAGGCGUAGUCGAUGGGAAUGCAGUUAAUAUUCUGCAGCCUGGUGGUAGUGACGGAUCUCGUAAAUUGUACAUCCUUAUUGGAUUGGUUGUGCAGUGAAGAGGUUCCAGGAAAUAGCUCCACCAUAUAGACCGUACCCCAAACCGACACAGGUGGUCAGGUAGAGAAUACUAAGGCGCUUGAGAGAAC
rnacentral:rRNA from 1 species